GUGCCAGCAGCCGCGGUAAUACGAGAGGCCCAAACGUUAUUCGGAUUUACUGGGCUUAAAGAGUUCGUAGGCGGCGCGGAAAGUGGGGUGUGAAAGCCCUCGGCUCAACCGAGGAAUUGCGCUCCAAACUGCCGUGCUAGAGGAACCUAGAGGUGAGCAGAACAGAUGGUGGAGCGGUGAAAUGCGUUGAUAUCAUCUGGAAUACCGGAGGCGAAGGCGGCUCACUGGGGGUUUUCUGACGCUGAGGAACGAAAGCCAGGGUAGCGAACGGGAUUAGAAACCCUUGUAGUCC
rnacentral:rRNA from 1 species